AUUGAACGCUGGCGGCAUGCUUUACACAUGCAAGUCGAACGGUAACAGGUUAAGCUGACGAGUGGCGAACGGGUGAGUAAUGCAUCGGAACGUGCCCGAUCGUGGGGGAUAACGCAGCGAAAGCUGCGCUAAUACCGCAUACGAGCUGAGGAUGAAAGCGGGGGACCGUAAGGCCUCGCGCGAUCGGAGCGGCCGAUGUCAGGUUAGGUAGUUGGUGGGGUAAAGGCUCACCAAGCCGACGAUCUGUAGCUGGUCUGAGAGGACGACCAGCCACACUGGGACUGAGACACGGCCCAGACUCCUACGGGAGGCAGCAGUGGGGAAUUUUGGACGAUGGGCGCAAGCCUGAUCCAGCAAUGCCGCGUGCAGGAAGAAGGCCUUCGGGUUGUAAACUGCUUUUGUACGGAGCGAAAAGGCUCUCUCUAAUACAGGGGGUUCAUGACGGUACCGUAAGAAUAAGCACCGGCUAACUACGUGCCAGCCGCCGCUGUAA
rnacentral:rRNA from 1 species